rnacentral:rRNA from 1 species
GCUUACGACCAUAUCACACUGAAAGCACCGGUUCUCGUCCGAUCACCGAAGUUAAGCAGCAUCGAGCCUAGUUAGUACUUAGAUGGGUGACUGCUUGGGAAACCUAGGAGCUGUAAGCA